rnacentral:rRNA from 1 species
UACGAAGGGGACUAGCGUUGCUCGGAUUGACUGGGCGUAAAGGGCGCGUAGGCGGUUCGUACAGUCAGACGUGAAAUUCCUGGGCUCAACCUGGGGGCUGCGUUUGAUACGUGCGGACUUGAGUGCGGAAGAGGGUCGUGGAAUUCCCAGUGUAGAGGUGAAAUUCGUAGAUAUUGGGAAGAACACCGGUGGCGAAGGCGGCGACCUGGUCCGAUACUGACGCUGAGGCGCGAAAGCGUGGGGAGCAAACAGG